CUGGCAUUAAGAGAGUUUGCAGGGCUUCGAGUCUCACCUCUAUAGCGAUGGAACUGCAGGUACAGAAGGGACUCUGGAGACAGUCUCAUCAAUCCCAUUUUUUAUCUAUAGCAGAUGUAGAGGGAUCCGGACGUCCUGGUCUUCCUCGCAGAGGCAGGCCCUGACAACUCACCCUUCCUGUCCUGCAGCUGAAAGAAAAAGCCCUUAUAUGUGUGAUAUUCAAACACACCGUGCCCUCUUCCUCCAGGGAGCAGGGCCCAGUCUACACCCUGAAUCCAGUCUAAUUAAAAGUUCCUCUACAUGUUUAAUGGGUAUAGAGAUUCAAUUUGGAAUGAUGAAAAAGUUCUAGAGAUGGAUAGUGGUGAGGGCUGCAAAACAAUGUGAAUGAACUUAAUGUCAUACACUUAAAAUAAUGAAGAUAUGUAUCUUGCCAUUUUCUUUUUUAAAAAA